rnacentral:rRNA from 1 species
CACGUAGGGGCCAAGCGUUGUCCGGAUUUAUUGGGCGUAAAGAGCUCGUAGGCGGUUCGACAAGUCGGGUGUGAAAACUCCGGGCUCAACCCGGAGACGCCACCCGAUACUGUCGUGACUGGAGUCCGGUAGGGGAGUGGGGAAUUCCUGGUGUAGCGGUGAAAUGCGCAGAUAUCAGGAGGAACACCGGUGGCGAAGGCGCCACUCUGGGCCGGUACUGACGCUGAGGAGCGAAAGCGUGGGUAGCAAACGGG